rnacentral:rRNA from 1 species
CGUAGGUGGCAAGCGUUGUCCGGAUUUACUGGGCGUAAAGCGAACGCAGGCUGGAUGUUAAGUAGGAAGUGAAAGGUUGGAGCUCAACUCUGACACUGCUCCCUAUACUGGCAUUCUUGAGUCUUGGAGAGGAAAGCGGAACGACACGUGUAGCGGUGAAAUGCGUUGAUAUGUGUCGGAACACCGAUGGCGAAAGCAGCUUUCUGGACAAGUACUGACGCUGAGGUUCGAAAGCCAAGGGAGCGAACAGGAUUAGAUACCCUGGUAGUCUUGGCCAUAAACGAUGUUCACUAGGUGUCGGGGCUUUGCUUCGGUGCCGCAGCUAACGCAUUAAGUGAACCGCCUGGGAACUACGAUCGCAAGAUUA